rnacentral:lncRNA from 1 species
CGGCGGGGGCGCGCAUGCGCGGGGGGGCGCGCAGGCUCUUGGAGGCAGGCGGGGGCUGUGGUUUCGCAGACCUCGUGGCGCAACGUGACUUCACUGCUGGUUGCCAUGGAAGUUCCGAUGUCACAGUGAUCACGGAUGCCGUAUCGCAGGGUGAGGGCUUCCAGGAAAGGAGCACCCCUUAACACCUCCCCAGCCAUCGGAUUCCACCUGGCCAUGUGAAGAGCUGUGCAUUUGGAAGAGAUGGCCGAGACUACAACUGACAUGCUGAUACAACGGCCGGAAGAAAGAGCAGAUGAGCACAGCCCAGAGAAAGUCAACAUGCAAA